AAAGGGAGACCUAAUUCAGGUAGGAGACGAAAAAAAAGUAGUCGCUACCAAGAAUCAAUCCCAAAAGGUCGGAGCGAGGCGAAAUUGGCUUUCAAACUAGGUUCUGGGUUCACACAAGACCUGAAUCAGGAACAAGGGCUAUUAGCUCAGGUGGUUAGAGCGCACCCCUGAUAAGGGUGAGGUCCCUGGUUCGAGUCCAGGAUGGCCCACCUGUACAGGUGGCAAAAAGAAAGAAAAGAAGCGAGGAAUCAGCACCUUAUCUUACUGACAUAGUAAGAGAGAAUGCUGGCUCUGAGUAAAGAGUCCAGAGGAACCUUGAAAACUGCAUAGAGCUAGGUGAAAAAGCCAAAAAAGAAGACCGCAAG
rnacentral:tRNA from 1 species